AUGAUGAAUUGGAGGAAGGGUGGGAUGAUGUCAAGUCCUCAUGGCCCUAAUGGGUUGGGCUACACACGUGAUACAGUGGCAAUGACAAAAGAAAGCAAUGAUGCAAGUCGGAGCAAAAUCUUAAAAAUUGUCUUGGUCCGGAUUGUUCCCUGUAACUCGGGAACAUGAAGUUGGAAUCGCUAGUAAU
rnacentral:rRNA from 13 species